CAGCACACUACGAGAAUACGCGCAUACCACAAUGAGAUACGAUUCUUUUCAGUGGUAGAGUAGAGUAGUAGUAUUAGCGUAUAGAAUUGAAUCGAUUGAGCCAACGAGCCGUAGGAAGAGGGGGCCAGGGGGCCCUCGGGUACACGAAUGUGUAUGGAUAUUUCACAAUUUCACAGCGAUUACCAGUGAAUCGGUCGACUGGGAAUUUCACAACGACAUCAUUUUGCUAUAUCUUCAUGACUAUCACCACCCACAACUUCAGCUAAUAUGUCCGACAUGACAAACUAAAUGUUAUCAAUAGCUCCAUUAUCACCUACACUGAGUUCUAGAAAAAUGAAAGGACGUUUACAAUUUCUUAAAAAUUAUCAUUACGAUGUCUAUUUACUAUGUACACAUCUGCAUACAUACAUAUGUAUGUAUGCCUGUGUAUUCAGGUGUACAAAUCUCACUCGAGAGAAAAUUUAAAGAGCGGCAUUUUAAAGUACUCAAAGAAGCACGAUUGAGAGAAUACAAUAUUCUAUCGUUCUUGUCAAAGAAGCACAUAAACCCACUCUUGAGCAAGUGUAACGCAAAAGAGGAAGCGAAUGAGUGAAGUAGUACUGAGAUUUUUAAGAGCAGCAAAUAAAAAACUACGCAGCAGUGUUACCGUUGUGCGACUAAAGUAUCAAAUCGACACUGGAUAUCGAUGCCCCCUGACAACCACUUUUUAGAAAUAGGCUUAUGUAUUUUGAAACUUUUCUUAGACAUCAUGCGACUUUUGACCGACUUUUUCUUUGAUUAAAAAUUAUAUAUAUUAUAUACCCAAUUGGACAAGUUUUUCAUAAAAUAUUACUUUUCAAAGGCGCUCCAAAAUUACAUCUCUAUAAAGUUAUUUGUGUUAAACUCAUUUUCGUGGCUCCCGGUACAAACAAAUAAUCGGCGAUAAUUUUUAUACAAGCUUAAAAGGCUAAACUUUGUUGUAAUAAUUGUUAUCUGCUAACGUUGCUUUUGUGUUAUAUU